rnacentral:rRNA from 1 species
CCUACGGGAGGCAGCAGUGAGGAAUAUUGGUCAAUGGACGAGAGUCUGAACCAGCCAAGUAGCGUGAAGGAUGACUGCCCUAUGGGUUGUAAACUUCUUUUAUAAAGGAAUAAAAUGUUCCACGUGUGGGAUUUUGUAUGUACCAUAUGAAUAAGGAUCGGCUAACUCCGUGCCAGCAGCCGCGGUAAUACGGAGGAUCCGAGCGUUAUCCGGAUUUAUUGGGUUUAAAGGGAGCGUAGGUGGAUUGUUAAGUCAGUUGUGAAAGUUUGCGGCUCAACCGUAAAAUUGCAGUUGAAACUGGCAGUCUUGAGUACAGUAGAGGUGGGCGGAAUUCGUGGUGUAGCGGUGAAAUGCUUAGAUAUCACGAAGAACUCCGAUUGCGAAGGCAGUUCACUGGACUGCAACUGACACUGAGGCUCGAAAGUGUGGGUAUCAAACAGGAUUAGAUACCCGAGUAGUC